rnacentral:lncRNA from 1 species
CCCCUCCCCCCACGUCCAUUCUCUACCUACCAUCUCUUUCUUAGGGGUUGGGGGAAGGGAGGGAAUUUCAGCCAUUUUGUCAAGACACCUUGGCCAACAACCACCAAGAGCCUGAGUAUUGCCAGCAGACGCAUGAGUGAGCUUGCAAGUGGAUCUUCCCCCUGCUGAGCCUUGAGAGAACUGCAGCCCUGGCUGACAUCUUGAUUGCAGUUGUAGGAGGAACCCUAAGUCAGAAGCACAGCUAAGCCACACCCAGAUUCCCAACCCACAUAAACUCUGAGGCAUUGUGGCUCUGGAGACCUGGAAGCACUGCUAACUGUUCUCUCGAUUUUCUGACGCUCGGCCACAUCAACCUGUCAUACUAGUUGUGAGGAGAAGUCAAGGACAGUGACACAGCCAGCCAGUCUGAGGCAUUUUCCAUCAUCCUGAAGGAGUUGCCCUAUCCUGCUUUUCACUGGAGGGGGCAUGGAUGGAUCUGGAAUGUAUAAUUGGAGUAGACAUUCUCAGCAGCUGGCGGAAACCCCGCAUUGGUUCCAUGACAUGUGGAAUGAAGGCUACGAUGGUAGGAAAAGAUAAGUGGAAGCUGCUAAAACUGCAUUUACCUUGAAAAAUAUUAAACACAAAGAAACACUACAUUCCUGGAAAGACUGCACCAUCAAGGACUUGAAAGACUCAGGGACGGGGUGAUUCUUAUGUUCUCACUCAACUUGCCUGUGCGGGAGUCAGAUGAAUCUUGGAGAAUGACAGUGGAUUAUUAUAAGCUUAACUAGGUGAUGACUCCAAUUGCAGCUGCUGUACUGGAUGUGGUUUCAUUGCUCGAGCAAGUUAAUACAUCCCCUGGUACCUAGUAUGCAGCUAUUGAUCUAGCAAAUGCCUUUUUCUCCUUACCUCUCAAUAAGAACAACCAGAAUCAGUUUGCUUUUAGCUAGUAAGGUCAGCAAUAUAGCUUCACUGUGCUGCAUCAGGGGUAUGUUAAUUCUCUACCACUAUGUCAUAAUUUAGUUUGCAGGAAUCUUUAUCACCUUUCCCUUCCAAAAGAUAUCACACUAGUCUAUUACACUGGUGACAUGAUGCUGAUUUGACGUAGUGAGCAAGAAGUAGCAACUACUCUAUAGUUAUUGGUAAGACAUUUGCAUGUCAGAGAAUGAAUUUUCAAGAAAAUUCAGUGAAAUUUCUAGGGGUCAGUAUGUGGAGCAUGUGAGAUAUUACUUCUAAGGUAAAGGAUAAGUUGAUGUAUUUGCCUCACCUUCAACCAUAAAAGAGGAACAAUGCCUAGUGGGCCUCUUUGGAUUCUGGAGGCAACAUACUCCUUAUUUGAGUGUGUUACUCUAGUCCAUUUACUGAGUAAACUGCUUUUCACUAGUUUUCAGUGAGGCCCAGAACAAGAAGAGACUCUGCAACAAGUCUAGGCUGCUGUGCAAGCUGCUCUGUCACUUGGGCCUUAUGAUCCGGUAGAUCCAAUGGUGCUUGAAGUGUCAGUGGUAGACAGGGAUGCUGUCUGGAGCCUUUGAUGGGCCCCCUAUUGGUGAAUCACAGUGCGGAUCCUUAGGAUUUUGGAACAAAGCCCUGAUAUCUUCUGUGGAUAACUACUCUCCUUUUGAGAAACAGUUCUUAGUUUGCUACUGGGCCUUAGUAGAGACUUAAUACUUAACUAUGCACUACUAAGUUACUAUUUGACCUGAGCUUCCCACCAUGAACUGAGUGUUGUCUUACUCGCAAAGCCAUGAAGUUGGGCAUGCACAGCAGCACUCCAUCAUCAAAUGGAAGUACUUUGUAUGAGAUUAGGUCAAAUCAGGCUCUUGGCACAAGUAAGUUACAUGAAAAGAAGGGGCCUAAUUGUCAUGGCACCCACUCCUAUUACAGGACCUUCUCUCUCCCGCCUGCUUCUGUGGCCUCACAGGGGAGCUCCUUGUGAUCAGUUGAUAGAGGAAAAAAGACUCAGGCCUGAUUUACAGAAGAUUCUGCAUGAUAUACAGCUACCACCUGAAAGUGGGCAGCUGCAGAACUGCAGACCUUCUCUGAAACAUUCCUCAAGGACAAUGGUGAAGAAAAAUCCUUCCAGUAGGCAGAACUUCAAGCAGUGCACCUGAUUGUUCACUUUGCUUGGGAGAAAAGGUAGGACAUGUGACUGUACACUGAUUCAUGGACUGUGGCCAAUGGUUUGGUAGAUGGUCAAGGACUUGAAAGGAACAUGACUGGAAUAUUGGUGAGAAGGAAAUUUGGGGAAGAAGUAUGUGGAUAGAUCUCUCUCAAUGGGCAAAAAACCAUGAAGAUAUUUGUGUCCCAUGUAAAUAUUUACAAAAGGAUAACCUCAGCAGAGGAAGACUGUAAUAAUAAAGUGGAUAGAAUAGCCCAUUCUGUAGCUACCACUCAGCUUCUUUCUCCAGCCAACCCUGUUCAUUGCCCAAUGGGCUCAUGAACAAAGUGGCCAUUGUGGCAAAAAAGGGGGGUUAUGCAUAGGCUCAGCGACAUAGACUCCUACUCACCAAGACCAACCUGGCUACAGCCACCACUGAGUUCUUAAUCUGCUAGAAGCAGAAACCAACACCGAGUCCCUAAUAUGGCACCAAUCCUCAUGGUGGCCAGCCAGCUCCUGGGUGGCAGGUUGAUUAUAUUGGACUGCUUCCAUCAUGGAAGAGACAGCAGUUUGUCCUCACUGAAAUAGAUAUUUACACUGGAUAUACAUUUUUCUUCCUGCACACAAUGCUUCUCCCAAAACUACCAUCCAUGGACUUACGGAAUGCUUUAUCCACCAUCUUGGUAUUCCACACAGCAUUGCUUCUGACUAAGGAACUUACUUCACUGCCAAAGAAGCAUGGCAAUGGGUAUAUGCUCAUGGAAUUCCCUGGUCUUACCAUGUUUCCUGCCAUCCUAUAGCUGCUGGCUUGAUAGAGUGGUGGAAUGGUUUUUUGAAAUCACAGUUGUAAUUCCAGCACUUUGGGAGGCUGAGGUGGGUGGAUCACCUGAGGUCAGGAGUU